rnacentral:rRNA from 1 species
UACGGAGGGUGCAAGCGUUAUCCGGAUUCACUGGGUUAAAGGGUGCGUAGGUGGGUCUGUAAGUCAGUGGUGAAAUCUCCGAGCUUAACUUGGAAACUGCCAUUGAUAACUAUAGAUCUUGAAUAUUGUGGAGGUCAGCGGAAUAUGUCAUGUAGCGGUGAAAUGCUUAGAGAUGACAUAGAACACCAAUUGCGAAGGCAGCUGGCUACACAUAUAUUGACAACUGAGGC